AACACUGUUAACCUGCGGUACCUGCGGAGGGAUCAUUACCGAGUGUGGUCCCAUAAGGGGCGCCUCCCGUCCUUUGCAGGGCCUUUAGGGGCUUUUUGACUUUGCUUCGGCGGGCUUGCCCCGCCGGAACACCCUCAAGAAAAUCUUUAUGAACCGUUUGUCUGAGUUGCUUGCGAAUAAAAACAAAACUUUCAGCAAUGGAUCU
rnacentral:misc_RNA from 1 species